AAAAAUGAAUAUACUUAUUUAAAAUUUUCUGCGAUGAAACAAAUUAUAUAAAGAUUUCGCAAAAAAAAAAAAGGCUGAAUAGAGUCAUGAGACAUCAGAACAACAUGAACAAUGAAUUUGUUCUCAUUAUCAAAAUCGUUAAAAUUUGGAUUAAUUGCACUUGCUUUCAAAAAUAAAUUAUAGACAAGACACGACAAGACAAGACAAUGACGAGACAA
rnacentral:lncRNA from 1 species